rnacentral:rRNA from 1 species
UGGGAAAGAAUAUUGUAAACCUCUUUCAGUAGGGAAGAAGCCGUAAAGGUGACGGUACCUGCAGAAGAAGCGCCGGCUAACUACGUGCCAGCAGCCGCGGUAAUACGUAGGGCGCAAGCGUUAUCCGGAAUUAUUGGGCGUAAAGAGCUCGUAGGCGGUUUGUCGCGUCUGCCGUGAAAGUCCGGGGCUCAACUCCGGAUCUGCGGUGGGUACGGGCAGACUAGAGUGAUGUAGGGGAGACUGGAAUUCCUGGUGUAGCGGUGAAAUGCGCAGAUAUCAGGAGGAACACCGAUGGCGAAGGCAGGUCUCUGGGCAUUAACUGACGCUGAGGAGCGAAAGCAUGGGGAGCGAACAGGAUUAGAUACCCUGGUAGUCCAUGCCGUAAACGUUGGGCACUAGGUGUGGGGGACAUUCCACGUUUUCCGCGCCGUAGCUAACGCAUUAAGUGCCCCGCCUGGGGAGUACGGCCGCAAGGCUAAAACUCAAAGGAAUUGACGGGGGCCCGCACAAGCGGCGGAGCAUGCGGAUUAAUUCGAUGCAACGCGAAGAACCUUACCAAGGCUUGACAUGAACCGGACCGCCGCAGAAAUGUGGUUUCCCCUUUGGGGCUGGUUUACAGGUGGUGCAUGGUUGUCGUCAGCUCGUGUCGUGAGAUGUUGGGUUAAGUCCCGCAACGAGCGCAACCCUCGUUCUAUGUUGCCAGCACGUGAUGGUGGGGACUCAUAGGAGACUGCCGGGGUCAACUCGGAGGAAGGUGGGGACGACGUCAAAUCAUCAUGCCCCUUAUGUCUUGGGCUUCACGCAUGCUACAAUGGCCGGUACAAAGGGUUGCGAUACUGUGAGGUGGAGCUAAUCCCAAAAAGCCGGUCUCAGUUCGGAUUGGGGUCUGCAACUCGACCCCAUGAAGUCGGAGUCGCUAGUAAUCGCAGAUCAGCAACGCUGCGGUGAAUACGUUCCCGGGCCUUGUACACACUACCCGUCAAGUCACGA